UACGUAGGGGGCUAGCGUUGUCCGGAUUUAUUGGGCGUAAAGAGCGUGUAGGCGGCCAUGUAGGUCCGGUGUGAAAACUCGAGGCUUAACCUCGAGAUGUCAUCGGAAACCAUUUGGCUAGAGUCCGGAAGAGGAGAGUGGAAUUCCUGGUGUAGCGAUGAAAUGCGCAGAUAUCAGGAGGAACACCAAUGGCGAAGGCAGCUCGCUGGAACGGUACUGACGCUGAGGCGCGAAAGCGUGGGGAGCGAACAGG
rnacentral:rRNA from 1 species